ACCAGACUCCUACGGGAGGCAGCAGUGGGGAAUAUUGCACAAUGGGCGCAAGCCUGAUGCAGCCAUGCCGCGUGUAUGAAGAAGGCCUUCGGGUUGUAAAGUACUUUCAGUCGGGAGGAAGGUGGUAAGGUUAAUAACCUUAUCAAUUGACGUUACCGACAGAAGAAGCACCGGCUAACUCCGUGCCAGCAGCCGCGGUAAUACGGAGGGUGCAAGCGUUAAUCGGAAUUACUGGGCGUAAAGCGCACGCGGGCGGUCUGUCAAGUCGGAUGUGAAAUCCCCGGGCUCAACCUGGGAACUGCAUUCGAAACUGGCAGGCUUGAGUCUCGUAGAGGGGGGUAGAAUUCCAGGUGUAGCGGUGAAAUGCGUAGAGAUCUGGAGGAAUACCGGUGGCGAAGGCGGCCCCCUGGACGAAGACUGACGCUCAGGUGCGAAAGCGUGGGGAGCAAACAGGAUUAGAUACCCCAGUAACG
rnacentral:rRNA from 1 species